rnacentral:rRNA from 1 species
AUUAGAGUUUGAUCCUGGCUCAGAUUGAACGCUGGCGGCAUGCCUAACACAUGCAAGUCGAACGGGGGUAGCGAUACCCUAGUGGCGGACGGGUGAGUAACGCGUAGGAAUCUGCCCCGUAGUGGGGGACAACCUGGGGAAACCCAGGCUAAUACCGCAUGAGCUCGGGAGAGGAAAGCGGGGGACCUUCGGGCCUCGCGCUAUGGGAUGAGCCUACGUCCGAUUAGCUAGUUGGCGGGGUAAGGGCCCACCAAGGCGAUGAUCGGUAGCUGGUCUGAGAGGACGAUCAGCCACACUGGGACUGAGACACGGCCCAGACUCCUACGGGAGGCAGCAGUGGGGAAUAUUGGACAAUGGGCGCAAGCCUGAUCCAGCAAUGCCGCGUGGGUGAAGACGGCCUGCGGGUUGUAAAGCCCUUUAGGCGGGGAGGAACGGCGUCGUGCGAACAGUGCGGCGUUCUGACGUUACCCGCGGAAUAAGCACCGGCUAACUCCGUGCCAGCAGCCGCGGUAAUAAU